rnacentral:rRNA from 1 species
UACGUAGGGGGCAAGCGUUGUCCGGAAUCAUUGGGCGUAAAGCGCGUGUAGGCGGCUCGGUAAGUCCGCUCUGAAAGUCCAGGGCUCAACCCUGGGAUGCGGGUGGAUACUGCCGGGCUCGAGUCCGGAAGAGGCGAGUGGAAUUCCCGGUGUAGUGGUGAAAUGCGCAGAUAUCGGGAGGAACACCAAUGGCGAAGGCAGCUCGCUGGGACGUGACUGACGCUGAGACGCGAAAGCGUGGGGAGCAAACAGG